rnacentral:misc_RNA from 1 species
AACAUCGCGCACCUGCGGGAACCUGCGGAAGGAUCAUUACAGAGUUGCAAAACUCCCUAAACCAUCGUGAACGUUACCUAAACCGUUGCUUCGGCGGGCGGCCCGGGUCCUUCCCGGCGCCCCUCGGCCCUCGCGGGCGCCCGCCGGAGGUAAACCAAACUAUUGCAUUGUAUGGCCUCUCUGAGUCUUCUGUACUGAAUAAGUCAAAACUUUUAACAAUGGAUCUCAGAUCGGAAGAGC